UAAGUUUGGGGUAAAACCCCAUAAGUUUCAAAAGCCAAGGUGAGUGCGAAAAAAAAGAGAGAAUCAUCGAGAAAAUAAACUCGAGGGUUCAAAAGAAGCAUUGUCCAAAGAAUGGCACUCGGUUGAAAAACAAGAAUAACAAAGAAAAACCUGAGCUAUAAAAAAAUAAUAGAGGAAAAGAAAGAAAACGAACAAACACAGCAAAAAUAAUAGUAAC
rnacentral:lncRNA from 1 species